GCCUGGGUGGCUCAAUGGGUUGAGCAUCCGACUUCAGCUCAGGUCAUGAUCUGGUGGUUCGUGAGUUCGAGCCCCACGUUGGGCU
rnacentral:tRNA from 1 species